rnacentral:rRNA from 1 species
UGAAUACGAGACGCUAAGGCGUCGAAGUAGUGUAUGUCAUACUUCCAAGAAAAGCUUGCACUGUCAUAGAUAAAAAACGCCUGUACCAUAACCGACACAGGUGGGUAGGUAGAGUAUACUAAGGGGCGCGAGAUAACUCUCUCUAAGGAACUCGGCAAAAUAACUCCGUAACUUCGGGAGAAGGAGUGCCUUAUUCGUAAGGUUGCAAUAACAAGAUCCAAGCAACUGUUUAUCAAAAACACAGGUCUCCGCUAAGUCGUAAGACGAUGUAUGGGGGCUGACGCCUGCCCAGUGCCAGAAGGUUAAAGAAGUUGGUUAGCAAUUGCGAAGCUGAUAACUGAAGCCCUGGUGAACGGCGGCCGUAACUAUAACGGUCCUAAGGUAGCGAAAUUCCUUGUCGGGUAAGUUCCGACCCGCACGAAAGGCGUAAUGAUUUGGAUACUGUCUCGGAGAGGGGCUCGGUGAAAUAGACUUGUCUGUGAAGAUGCGGACUACCUGCACCAGGACAGAAAGACCCUAUGAAGCUUUACUGUAACUUGAAAUUGAAAUUGGACUUUAUUCGCGCAGUAUAGGUGGGAGGCGUUGAUUAUAAUCUUGUGGGAUUAUUGGAGCCAUCAGUGAGAUACCACUCUUGUAAUGUUAGAUUUCUAACUUUGAAUCAUUAUCUGGUCAAAGAACAGUUUCAGGCGGGCAGUUUGACUGGGGCGGUCGCCUCCUAAACGGUAACGGAGGCGUACAAAGGUUUCCUCUGAACGGUUAGAAAUCGUAUCUAGAGUGUAAAGGCAUAAGGAAGCUUGACUGUGAGACCUACAAGUCGAGCAGGGACGAAAGUCGGUCUUAGUGAUCUGACGGUACUGAGUGGAAAGGCCGUCACUCAACGGAUAAAAGUUACUCUAGGAUAACAGGCUGAUCUCCCCCAAGAGUUCACAUCGACGGGGAGGUUUGGCACCUCGAUGUCGGCUCAUCGCAUCCUGGGGCGGUAGUACGUCCCAAGGGUUGGGCUGUUCGCCCAUGAAAGCGGUACGCGAGCUGGGUUCAGAACGUCGUGAGACAGUUCGGUCCAUAUCCGGUGUAGGUGUUAGAAUAUUGAGAGGAGCCUUCUUCAGUACGAGAGGACCGAGAAGGACAUACCUCUGGUGUACCAGUUAUCGUGCCAACGGUAAACGCUGGGUAGCUAUGUAUGGAGUGGAUAACCGCUGAAAGCAUCUAAGUGGGAAGCCCACCUCAAGAUAAGUAUUCUCAAAAG